UGAAAGGUUUUUUUAAAAACCAAAAUUAUAAGCAAAAGCAAGCCG
rfam:Candidate division KSB1 bacterium 4484_87 ex4484_87_scaffold_3157, whole genome shotgun sequence.